UGAGUACGCCCCUGGCGUAGCUGCGCAUCUUCCAUCCAACAAUCUGGCCCACUCAUACCAGCCCAACCAGGUAUAGUACAGUCCCUCUUUUCUCUAGAACGUUGGCCGAACGUCAUAGGCAAUAUGUUAUUGUAGGAACAAUAGAGCGAACAGAAGACAACCCACGUUGAAUUAGAUGUUGUGCAAACCAAGAAAUUAACUAAAUCUAAACAUAACUUUAUUGUAUAUUUACGUUGAUUUGUAACGUGGCAACUUAUAGUAGUGCCGGCUUAAAACUAAAUGAAUUCAUUCUAACCUAAAGCUACGCUACUCUAAACAUACAUGCAAGAUAUAUGUACGAUCACAGAAGAUAGCAUAGACAGCGCCAAGCAUCGAUUUUUAUCAUUGACCCUAUGUACAAACUUACCGUGGACCCUGCACAGUGGGACUAAACGUAAGUAGUAAUGGUAAAAAAUUGUUUAACUCCGUUUGAUCUUU